rnacentral:pre_miRNA from 1 species
CGGGGGAGGCCGGAUCCUGGGCUGUGUCCCGGCGCCCUGUGCUCCGGGGCCUGCGCUGGUGGAUUCGCGCUCCCGGGCCGCAGCCCCCU